rnacentral:misc_RNA from 1 species
UGUUGCAUGUGAUACCCUUCAAGUUUAUCAUAUUAGGUGUUUUAUUAACCCUCGAAGACCAUGCAUACCUAAAUUAUUGCUUGCAUUUGGUUUUACCGACAUACGAUUAUUUCCUAUCUUAAUUUUCCUAUCUGACUUAAUUUUCUUCCCAUUAGAGUUUUUGCAAGUUUCGCGGCUACUUCAGAUAGAUACUAAUUUUAGUUCUCUUUAUUUUGCAUAUAAAAUAUCUCCGAGUUUGUCAUGAACUCCUCUCUCGCAUUCUUGAGAGUCGUAAAGGCUCAACAUCCCUUUGUCUGAGUCAAGCCCCCUCCAAAAUUGACGUUACAGGCUCCGGAGUUUAAAGAAUUGAAGUGGAAGAAGAGGAAGAGAUUAAGCCUUGAAAACCCAAAUUUUAUUUUCAGAAAUUUGUAUUCCGUUGUUGUAGGACCUAAUCUCAUGUAAUUAUUUUAUUUCGUUGCAUCUUUAGAAGAGGACAUGUACAAGGAAAUUGGGCCUAAAAUCCCAAAACAAUGAAAUGGGCUAAAAAACCAAAAUCAAAAUGGGUCCAAAUACCGAUCCAAGCGAACAGAUAAUCCG